rnacentral:tRNA from 1 species
GGGAAGGUGGCUUAGUGGGAGAGCGCUUGCCUAGCAUGCAUGAAGCUGUGGGUUCGAUUCCUCAGUACCA